AUUGAACGCUGGCGGCAUGCCUUACACAUGCAAGUCGAACGGCAGCGGACCUUCGGGUGCCGGCGAGUGGCGAACGGGUGAGUAAAGUAUCGGAACGUACCUUUCAGUGGGGGAUAACGUAGCGAAAGUUACGCUAAUACCGCAUAUUCUGUGAGCAGGAAAGCAGGGGAUCGCAAGACCUUGCGCUGAUUGAGCGGCCGAUAUCAGAUUAGCUAGUUGGGGAGGUAAAGGCUCACCAAGGCGACGAUCUGUAGCGGGUCUGAGAGGAUGAUCCGCCACACUGGAACUGAGACACGGUCCAGACUCCUACGGGAGGCAGCAGUGGGGAAUUUUGGACAAUGGGGGCAACCCUGAUCCAGCCAUGCUGCGUGAGUGAAGAAGGCCUUCGGGUUGUAAAGCUCUUUCGGCCGGGAAGAAAUCGCUUAGGUUAAUACCCUGAGUGGAUGACGGUACCGGAAUAAGAAGCACCGGCUAACUACGUGCCAGCAGCCGCAGUAAGAC
rnacentral:rRNA from 1 species